rnacentral:rRNA from 1 species
GUGUCAGCAGCCGCGGUAAUACAGGGGGUGCAAACGUUGCUCGGAAUUAUUGGGCGUAAAGCGCGCGUAGGCGGCUACUUAAGUCGGAUGUGAAAGCCCCUGGCUCAACUGGGGAAGUGCACCCGAAACUGAGCAGCUAGAGUACGAAAGAGGGUCGCGGAAUUCCCGGUGUAGAGGUGAAAUUCGUAGAUAUCGGGAGGAACACCGGUGGCGAAGGCGGCGACCUGGGUCGAUACUGACGCUGAGGCGCGAAAGCGUGGGGAGCAAACAGGAUUAGAUACCCUGGUAGUCCACGCCGUAAACGAUGGGUGCUAGAUGUUUCUGGUAUUGACCCCGGAGGCGUCGUAGCUAACGCGUUAAGCACCCCGCCUGGGGAGUACGGCCGCAAGGCUAAA